rnacentral:rRNA from 1 species
UACGAAGGGGGCAAGCGUUGUUCGGAAUUAUUGGGCGUAAAGGGAGCGUAGGCGGUUCGGCAAGUCUUUAGUGAAAUCUCUGGGCUCAACUCAGAGUCUGCUGGAGAAACUGCCGGGCUGGAGUAUGGGAGAGGUGAGUGGAAUUCCCGGUGUAGCGGUGAAAUGCGCAGAUAUCGGGAAGAACACCCGUGGCGAAGGCGGCUCUCUGGGACGGUACUGACGCUGAGACGCGAAAGCGUGGGGAGCGAACAGG